CUCGGCGCGCGGCCCGACCGCCUGCUUCCGGGGCGGGCGAGUGGGCGCCUGGUGCCGGCGGCCGCUGCGACAGCGCCCCCGGGAAGCGCAGGAGGAAGGAGAGAAGAGGCGGAGGUGGCCGCAGGCUGAGUCGCGGCCGGGAUGUCCGGGCAGCAGCCGCCGCCACCGCCGCCGCCGCCGCAGCAGCAGCAGCUGCCGCCGCCACCGCCUGCGGCCGUGGCCCCGGUGUCCGGAGUCGUCCUGCCGGCUCCCGCUACCGUCAGCGCCGGCUCCUCUCCUGCCGGCUCUCCUGGCGGAGGCGCGGGCAGCGGCUUGGGGGUCGCCGCGGCCGCCCUGCUCCUUCACCCGCCGCCGCCGCCGCCACCGCCCCCGGCUACCGUGGCCCCACCGCCGCCACCGCCGCCGCCGCCCCCCGCCUCAGCGGCCGCCCCCGCCAGCGUGCCUCCCGCGCCCCCAGGCCUCGCCGCGGGCCCCGGCCCGGGCCUGGCGGCGGGCAGCAGCGCCGCGGCCCCCUUCCCGCACGGGGACUCGGCCCUGAACGAGCAGGAGAAGGAGCUGCAGCGGCGGCUGAAGCGCCUCUACCCGGCCGUGGACGAGCAGGAGACGCCGCUGCCGCGGUCCUGGAGCCCGAAGGACAAGUUCAGCUACAUCGGCCUCUCGCAGAACAACCUGCGGGUGCACUACAAAGGUCAUGGCAAAACCCCAAAAGAUGCAGCAUCAGUUCGUGCCACACAUCCAAUACCAGCAGCCUGUGGGAUAUAUUAUUUUGAAGUAAAAAUUGUCAGUAAGGGAAGAGAUGGUUACAUGGGAAUUGGUCUUUCUGCUCAAGGUGUGAACAUGAAUAGACUACCAGGUUGGGAUAAACAUUCAUAUGGUUACCAUGGGGAUGAUGGACAUUCAUUUUGUUCUUCUGGAACGGGACAACCUUACGGACCAACUUUUACAACUGGUGAUGUCAUUGGCUGUUGUGUUAAUCUUAUCAACAAUACCUGCUUCUACACCAAGAAUGGACAUAGUUUAGGUAUUGCUUUCACUGACCUACCGCCAAAUUUGUAUCCUACUGUGGGGCUUCAGACACCAGGAGAAGUAGUUGAUGCCAAUUUUGGGCAACAUCCAUUUGUGUUUGAUAUCGAAGACUACAUGCGAGAGUGGAGAACCAAAAUACAGGCACAGAUAGACCGGUUUCCCAUUGGAGAACGAGAAGGGGAAUGGCAGACUAUGAUACAAAAAAUGGUUUCAUCUUACUUAGUCCACCAUGGGUACUGUGCCACAGCAGAGGCCUUUGCCAGAUCUACAGACCAGACCGUACUAGAAGAAUUAGCUUCCAUUAAGAAUAGACAAAGAAUUCAGAAAUUGGUGUUAGCAGGAAGAAUGGGAGAAGCCAUUGAAACAACACAACAGUUAUAUCCAAGUUUACUUGAAAGAAAUCCUAAUCUCCUUUUCACAUUAAAAGUGCGUCAAUUUAUAGAAAUGGUGAAUGGUACAGAUAGUGAAGUACGAUGUUUGGGAGGCCGAAGUCCAAAAUCUCAAGACAGUUAUCCUGUUAGUCCUCGACCUUUUAGUAGUCCAAGUAUGAGCCCCAGCCAUGGAAUAAAUAUCCAUAAUUUAGCAUCAGGCAAAGGAAGUACUGCACAUUUUUCUGGUUUUGAAAGUUGUAGUAAUGGUGUAAUAUCAAAUAAAGCACAUCAAUCGUACUGCCAUAGUAAACACCAGUCAUCCAAUCUGAAUGUUCCAGAACUGAACAGUAUAAAUAUGUCAAGAUCACAGCAAGUUAACUUCACCAGUAAUGAUGUAGACAUGGAAACAGAUCACUACUCCAAUGGAGUUGGAGAAACUUCAUCCAAUGGUUUCCUAAAUGGUAGCUCUAAACAUGACCACGAAAUGGAAGAUUGUGACACCGAAAUGGAAGUAGACUCGAGUCAGUUACGACGCCAGUUGUGUGGGGGAAGUCAGGCGGCCAUAGAGAGAAUGAUCCACUUUGGAAGAGAGCUGCAAGCGAUGAGUGAACAACUGAGGAGAGAAUGUGGCAAGAACACAGCAAAUAAAAAAAUGCUGAAGUUGAGGAAAUUUAGAAAGUGCUUCUCUUUUCUUCACUUCAGGUCCCAGGUGAUUGUAAGUUUUUUCUUUUUAAUCUUUAACAUUUUUGAAUUUGCCUAAACUUCUGAGUUAUAUAUACAUAUAUAGAGAGAGUGCUUUGAUUAAGGUUGAAGGUAAGAUUUACCUGAAUUGCUUUAUCAUAAGGAUGCAUGCAUUUUGCUUCACCUGCUGUGGAGUGGCAGGCAUUAUUGCAGACAAAUUUUAAGACUAGACCACCGGGCUGAAAAUGGGCAGGGCCCUCCCGUAGCAUUUGGUGGCCCAUUGUUUCUCUUUACCUUUUUUCUUCUAUUUUUCUGUCUUCCUUCUCCUCUUUUCCUUUUGUCUUUUUUGUUCCCCACCUGCCUAGGUCUGCCAGUGGCUCCCAUGAGAAUUCCCUGAAUUGGCUUGUUCAGCAGGUAUUUAUUAAACUUCUGCAGUGUGGCAAGGCUGUAGGCACUGUGGGAUCAGACAUGAAUGAGGAGCCCCAGCCUGCAAGGAGCUUUAAAUCUAGUGACUGAAGCAGAAGUAGAACCAUUUAGAUUCACUUUAUUUAGAAACUGCUCCAGAUUUUAAGUCAAGUAUGAGUAGAGUUUGAGGAUCCUACCUAAAUGGUGUCACAUUUCCCUCAGAAAUUAUUCCCACUGAGGUAAUGUUUUUUUUCUUUAAAAUAAAAAGUAACCCACAAUGCCAUGAUACUUCACAGGUAUUUUCAGUUUUGUGCCAUAACUUCCAUGUGCAUAUAUUUUACCUAGUUAGUAAAUUGUAGUUACACUAUUUUGUAUUCUUUUCUUAUUUAUUGUCAUAAAAUUUAUUUUCUCCCAGUUUCUAUGCAUUAUACACAAUUAUUUUUAAAUGGCUGCAUAUAGAUUCAUAUAUGUUGCUGUAUCAAUUUAUUUCUGCUUUUUCUAUUGGAUUAUUUCUUUCCUUUAUUAAAUGGUUCAGUGAUCACCUUUAUACAUGUGCUUUUAUGUUUCUUCCUUAAAAUCAUUCCAUUGGGAUAAAGUCCUAGUAAUAAAAUGUUGGGUCAAAGGAUAUGAAUGUUACUGUGGCUCUUACUUAAUACUGCUAUACCGCUUUCCACAAACCUCCCGAUUUACUAGUGGUAAUGAAGAAAUGUACCAGUGUCACUACCUUAAUCCUACCUCAGUGAGUUUAACAUAAUAUCCUAAAAUUCCUUUUUUCUAUUUCUUUGGCUACUAUAAAUGUUGCUUUACUGAUUUCUUUCAUUCUUCUUUAUAAAGAAAGAUAUAGGUCUAAAGGUUCAUGACUAGGAGCUUGAUAGUGUCAACCUUACUCCCUGCCCUCCCCCUCCAUGGUUUUAUUUGUUUUCUUGCUUUCUGCUUCACACUACUUCCAACUGAUGUUUCAUGUAUCAUAAUGUUGCCAGUGUGGUCCUUCUACAGUCAUCUUUAAUCCAUAUCAUUCCUUUAUUUAAAACCCCACUGCCAUAUUGGAAAGAUUUCAAGCAUGGGCAUUUUACGAUCUAAGCCCUUAUCCAAGGUUCCAGUGAUGCUUUCCUUUUUUCUCUCGGCUUCAGCUUGCACAUACCUUGAACCUGCCUAUUAUGUUACUAGUAAUAGACAGUAUAUUAUUUGUUUAUACCUCUGCCUGCCCUACCAGAUUAUGUGAGUUCCCUGAAGCUGGGACUAGGAUCUGCUCCUCAGUGUCUAGCACCUGUGCCCAGGAGACAUGGGUUGAGUUGUUUUGAAAAUAGAGAUUUUUUUCUCUCUUAAUAUAUAGAUUGAUAAUUUAAAAAGAGACUGCAUCUUACAAAACAGUACAGUUGUAGUUCUGUGAUCUUACCCUCUCACUGCCUUGGGUUGCUUCUGUAUAAAAUGGGUUUAAUAAUAGUAGCAACCUCAUAGGGUCAGUGUAAGGAUUAAAUGAGAUGAUCCCUGUUAGUGCUCAAGACACUGCCUCACAUGGUGUUAGUGCCGGAUAAAUGACCAUUUUUUUUUUCUAUGAUUCUGUAUUCCAGAUGUUCUUUCAGUAACUAGGUUUUUACUAGAGGCUGUAAAUAAUGGUCUUGAUUUUAGAUUUGGGACAUUUCCCCUUUGGGGUAGCAUGUCAGAAUGUGGACCUAUGAGCAUAGUUUUUUGUACUUGUUUUACUUAACUAGCUAUUCCCUGGACAAAUUUUUUAGUAAUAUAUUUUUAAAUUUAUCUGCACUAUUGGGAUGAUACCUCAUUAGAUGGUUGUGGGGUAAAUUAAGUCUUGAGCAAAGCUCAACACUUAGAAAUGAUGUGUUUGAUUAAAGUCAGUGUUCCAGGUUAUAGCAUAAUAUUCUUUCCGUCAAUAAGUUUGGACUGGGGAGAGCCAGGGUAUAGAACCAACUAGUUGGUUCUACUGGAUGCUCGUUUAUGCUGGAUGCAUGAAGACAUAGUUAACACCCAAAGACGCGGGUCUGACCAUCAGCAGGCUACCUGUAUGCAGCACCUAGCUAUAGGGGAUUCAAAACUAUUUAUCCUCAAAGAACUUUCAUUAUAAUUGGGGAGAGAAGUCUAAUACAAAUGAAAUAUUCAGCACUAUAGACCAUGCAGGAGCCACGUGUUUGCCCUAGAGGCAUACAUAUUCCCUGUCUGGUAGCCUCACGACGACUUCACGGCAUUUCUUUAUGGGGAAUUCUUGUCCAUAUCCACAGUGCAGGGGCCAGUUUGGAUGAGAAAGGCGAGAGGUAAUCGGGAAGCCUCUUUCCCUCUUCCUCUUCUUUCUGAACACUGGUGAGAUGAGUAGAGGAAUACCCAACAGCAGGAGUGGAAUCCCAUGACUUGAGCAGCUGUGCCCAGGGGACAGUAUUCUUUGGGAAUUUCAGUGUUCCACAUUUCAGCCUUCAGCAUUUAGAAAGGCUUUUGUUCCUGAGUUCACAGGUUUACAUUUUCCGUAGCCUUCUGAGUCUGGAAAGUGUCCUGUAUCUGUAUGAUUGAUUUAUAUAUAUGUAUGUAUAUGUAUUUUUUAAAACUGUUUUCUAUAUAUGCCUUUUACAAAAUGAGCCAGGGAGAAACUGGGAGAUAAAUUUUGAGGCUGCUGUAAUAAUACAAUACUCUAAUACUCUGGAUUGAAAGAUUUGAAUGAACUGGCACUGUGCUAAUUUCAUUUAGUUCAUUUAAUCCUCACAAGAUGCGGUGAAAUAGAAUCUCUUGUAAUCCCCAUUAUACCAGUGAUGAAACUGACACCUAGAGGAGUGGUUACUUGCCAGAAACCACACAGCUACUCAGCAGUGGAGCUUGGACUUGAAGCCAAUGUCUACAAUCACUAUACUAUGCUGCUUCCCAUAGAAAGAAGGAAAGAGACAAGCUGGAGUAGUCAUUUGAAAGGAAGACUAUAUGCUAGCUAUUCUGAGGUUUUAAGAGGAGUGGAUGACUUGAUGAUUGGAACUAUUGAAUAUAUUAAGAAUAGAGGCCUUGAAGGGGAGCCAGUUUAGUUUGUUUUUUGAUUUACUGAGUUUGAGAAGAUGGCAUCCAUUGAGAUGUCCAGUGGAUUGACCACAGAUCUGCUUAAUUUGUUACUUAAACUGAUAUUUUCACGUGUAUUUAAAAAAAGAAAUGUAGGCAGGCCCUAUCACUUUAAUGUCAGAUAAAAUAUCUUUUGUCUUUUCCUUUACCUUAACCAGUAUUACAAAGGAAUUAGGUUUUUAACAACUCUUUUUUUCUCUUUGAUGUAGGAAUGGGUGCGUGUGUGUGUGCACAUAUUUACAAGAAAAAUGAAAACAAGUUGGUCUUUACUGCAUAAUCUAAUUUAAAAAUGUACAGCCUCAAAGGCAUGGGGGGAAGUAAAGGAAUGGGUCUAAAGGUCCUAGUUUAUCUGUCGCUCAAUUUGGAACCAUUGUGGGCAUAGUGGCUGAACUAUUUCAAUUGAAAACCAAAUUGAUAUAUUUUGAACAGGAUGCAUUCAGUUUAUUAGCUUAUUCAGAUCCUUGGAACAGCCCAGUUGGAAAUCAGCUUGACCCAAUUCAGAGAGAACCUGUGUGCUCAGCUCUCAACAGUGCAAUAUUAGAAACUCACAAUCUGCCAAAGCAGCCUCCACUUGCCCUA